rnacentral:rRNA from 1 species
CACGUAGGGUGCGAGCGUUGUCCGGAAUUAUUGGGCGUAAAGGGCUCGUAGGCGGUUUGUCGCGUCGGGAGUGAAAACCUUGGGCUUAACUCAGGGCUUGCUUUCGAUACGGGCAGACUAGAGGUAUGCAGGGGAGAACGGAAUUCCUGGUGUAGCGGUGAAAUGCGCAGAUAUCAGGAGGAACACCGGUGGCGAAGACGGUUCUCUGGGCAUGAUCUGACGCUGAGGAGCGAAAGUGUGGGGAGCGAACAGG